rnacentral:lncRNA from 10 species
GCCACUGUACCGUCAGCGCCGCGCGUUCCUCAUGGCGUUAGGGCUGACGGGCCUUGUUGCUGAGGGGCCUUCAUUCAACGGUCUCUUGUUGAAUGAAAAGACCUCAUUCUCUUCACAUGCUUGGACGCCUGGGAAGCGCUUUUCUCCCAAUCCAGACCUUCCACCUUUCUCCCACUCUGUUGGCCCAGUGCAGAGUCUAGGAGAAAACUACGUCUGGGACUCGGGAACGAGUCCAGGGAGUUUAGAGCCUGCGAGAUGGGGCAGGGGUUUGGGCGGCGACUGAACGGAAGCCACGAGAAGGAUUCGGACUAAAAUGAGUAGUGCUGAACCAACGUGUGCCAAAGCGCAUAUAUUCAUUCAAUAGAUAAUGAACUCUACUGUCAGAGCGUCGCCAAGCGCUAGCCUUGAAAGCUAUCCCCUACUGAGGAUACAUGUAUUACGCAGCACAUACAAAUUGUCAGAUGGUUCAGUCCUUGAAAAAUAAAUACAAUAACGGGGUGUCACUGGGAGCUGCGACAGUGGGCAAGAUCAGGAAAGACCUGAUGCUAUUAUCAGGAGUAUUAAUUUGGAAAAUAGAGACAUUUCAGUUCUCUAAACGUUAAUGACUUAAGUUUUUAAUAAUUAUUUUCUGAAUUUUUUAUAUCAGCUUGCCUUGGUUUUCUUUAUAGCUUUACCACAUAAUGUGGCUGUAGUGCUCUUCGCCCAGGCUGGAGUGCAGUGGCGCGAUCUCGGCUCACUGCAAACUCUGCCUCCCGGGUUCAAGUGAUUCUCCUGCCUCAGCCUCCUAAGUAACCGGGAUUACAGGCGCGCGCCACCACGCUCAGCUAAUUUUUGUAUUUUUUAGUGGAGACGGGGUUUCACCAUGUUGCUCAUGCUGGUCUUGAACUCCUGACCUCGUGAUUCGCCCGCCUCGGUCUCCAAAAGUGCUGGGAUUACAGGCGUGAGCCAUGGCGCCCGGACCGUAAUUUUCCAUUGUUUAAUAUACUUCAUUAUGUAUCCAUCCUGCUGCCUCUUAACAUGUGCAUUAUUUCCAGUUUUUGUUCUAAACAUUGCUGCUGUGAACUAUGUUGUGCAUGUCAGCUGGUGAGUGUGUGCAGACGGUUCUCCACCAUAAUUUUUUCUGGUAUUUUUGACCCUGACAUAGUAAGAAAUACAUUGCAGACUUUGAAACUGUGGACGUAGAAGUACUCACACAUAACUGAAGUAAAAAUUUCUUGAAAUGCUACUUUACAGGAGCUGUGAGAUUUUAUUUCCUUUUUUUCUAAAUUAUGGUAAAAUACACAGCAAAAUUUACCAUUUUAACCAUUUUUAAGUUUUAUGUUUUUUAAAAUAUGUAUAUUGUUUCAGACCUACUAAUUAUAUAACUCAGUGGGUCCGAACCCCUUUUUUGUUGGCAGACACUGCAACUCUUCACCCUGCACAGCGAGAGGUGGGCUAGGGAGCAAACAUAAUAAACAUAUGUUGAAAGGUGAAGCUACUGUUAAAACUUCAGACAAAUUAAACUUAACAGGGUUUAAUUGAGCAAGGGGAAAAAUGAUUCUCAAAUCGGGCAGUCUCCAGAAUCAUAGCAGAUUCAGAGAGACUCCAGGGAUGCCUCGUGGUCAGAGCACAUUUACAGACAAAGAAAGGAAAGUGAUGUACAAAAAGCAAGUGAGGUACGGAAGCAGCUGGAUGGGUUACAGCUUGGCAUUUGCCUUACCUGAACACAGUUUGAACAGUAAGCAUUGUAUGAAUAGUUGAAGUAUGGCUGCUGGGAUUGGCUGAAACUCAGCUAUUGUUACAGAAGCACACUCCUAAAUUAGGCUUUCAGUCUUGUCUACCUACUAAGUUAGGUUAUGGUUCAUCCACAAGGACUCAAAUAUGGAAGUGCAGAGGCUUUCUCAGGCGGUAUUUAGUUCAAUUUAACACCGCCAUGGAAAAAAUAGGGGAAUGGAAAGUGAGAGUAUAGGGGAGGUACAUUGCAACUUUAAAUAGGGUAAUCAGGGUAGGCCUCACUGAGUAAAGAUUUCCAAGAGACAUAGACACUUGGUGAAGGGGAAACCUUCCAUACAGAGGGAACAGCCAGUACAAAGUUUCCAGGGCAGGGCUUGCCUGCUGGGAGAAUAGCAAGGAGGCAAGAGUGGCCGGAGCCAAGCAAGGAUAGAAUAUGGGUAUGAAG